AUGGUAAUUGUGGGCAACCAUUUCAAUGCCUCUGUCAAGAUUGUUUGUGUUUUUUCAGAACAUGGGGCAGCCUUAGAUCACAUUUAUCAAGAGAUCAAACUUAGAAAACCUCCAGAUUUGCAGAAAGUUUUUAUUUUACUUGUCCUUGUUGCAAUGCCAUGACAAUUUCCAUAGAAAUAAAAAAAAAAAAACACGAAACUGUCAUCUGUGUAUUUCAGAACUGCAAUUUCAGAACUAACAUUUAUGGUACAUUUGCUUCCCACAGAAGCCGAAAACAUACUCCUCACUCAUUGCAUGACUUCAAGGCAGACAUAAUAAAAAGGUAUGUAUGUUCAUUCAAUGCAGAUCAACACAGUGAUGUGGAAGGUCAAAGUGGGGAGCUGUCUGAUGAAGGUCAAGAUGACAAUAAUGAUGUGACAGACCUGCCAAACUGCAUAGAAAAAAAAUGGCUUUGUUGUUUCUAAAACUGGAGAGCACUUUUAAUGUAUCUUACAGGUGUAUAGAAGAGGUUGUUAAAGAGUUAAAUUUUAUAAUCUCGAUCAGCAUCUGGACCCAUCAUCAAAGUUGUUGCAGAUAAAAUGGGCAAGAAAUAAGGGAUAUCUUGGAGCGCUGGCCUGCAUUAUCAGAUGCAACACAGGUAAGUUUAGUUUUAUUUUUAGUCUAGUUUCACAAUUUUGCGAGAAAAUCAUCUUGAAGUUAUUUAUGCUAAAAACUUCUUACAACAAUAACAUAUUACAUGUUAUUUGUUGUGUUACACAUUGUAUGCAAUUAUUCCAUUAUUUAAUUAUUCUAUUUUUUCUACAGAUAAAUGAAGAACUCAAGAGGAUAACCACUGUAGGUCUUGAAUCCACAUUUAUAGCCAAACUUGACAAAUGCACCGCAAAACUAAUGGACCUGGCCUCAUCAAGGGGAGGAGCUAAAGGGGAAAGAAUCAGAAGGAUUAAGGAUAUGCUUCUUGAGAACAAUGCAGUUGAAGUAUGGAGAGAAGUAGCCAUUCACUGUCUUGUUGUCUAACUUGGAGAGAAAGAAGAGGAUCUUUUUAAGGAGUUUGCUAAUACACAAGAAUCAUUGGUGAUCUGUCAACUAUGGAAUUAAACCACAAGACGGGAACCAUCAUUGUUGAGGGAAUCAGAAUCCUGAUUGGAAUGGAUAUCUCAAGGUGUUGUGCUCUGCUGAUAAUAUGUGCUCUGAAUCUGAGCUACCCCAAGGAGCUUAAAUAUACUUGUUAAGUGUUUCAUAAGCUGUUUCUUGAACUUGAUGGACUGAAGCCCAGUGCAAAAGUAAUGCCUCUCAAGAACAGCAUUUUCUGAAGCCUCUACUUAUUUCAAAGUACAUUUAGCUCUUUAUGUUGCAACUAUAUUGUUUUGUAUUUUGAAGUCCACAUGCUGAUCUUUUUAUUUCAUACUGUUUAUAUGAAUGGUGGCAUUUACAUAUGUUUGUUUAUAAUAAUACAAAUGUUACAUGUUUAACAAUUAAGGUUAGCUAAUAACAAGUAGUUUGUAAAAUGUACAAUUUAUAAGUUAAUAGUUAGCUUUAAGUGUAUCAAUGCCUAUAACUCUUGUUUUGUUGGAAUUCAUUGUGAUGGCAUAGCUAUGCAUGCAUGCACAUUUUUGAAGGCAAAGCUGACGGGUAAGUUUGUUUAUAAUUUGUGAGACAGUACACAUUUGUGUUUUGUAAACUUUGAGAAGUGCAAUAUUUAAAAUAAAACACUGAAAACUGUGUUUCUAAAUAAAUAAAAAGUUACUGAAAUUAAAA